rnacentral:rRNA from 1 species
GAUGAACGCUAGCGGCAGGCUUAACACAUGCAAGUCGAGGGGUAGAGGAAGCUUGCUUCCUUGAGACCGGCGCACGGGUGCGUAACGCGUAUACAAUCUACCUUUUACAGAGGGAUAGCCCCAGAGAAAUUUGGAUUAAUACCUCAUAGUAUUUUCGGAUCGCAUGAUUUGAUUAUUAAAGUUCCAACGGUAAAAGAUGAGUAUGCGUCCCAUUAGCUAGAUGGUAAGGUAACGGCUUACCAUGGCAAUGAUGGGUAGGGGUCCUGAGAGGGAGAUCCCCCCACACUGGUACUGAGACACGGACCAGACUCCUACGGGAGGCAGCAGUGAGGAAUAUUGGACAAUGGGCGCAAGCCUGAUCCAGCCAUGCCCGCGUGCAGGAUGACGGUCCUA